UACAGGGGGUGCAAACGUUGCUCGGAAUCACUGGGCGUAAAGCGCACGUAGGCGGCUUUCUAAGUCAGGGGUGAAAUCCUGGAGCUCAACUCCAGAACUGCCUUUGAUACUGGAGAGCUUGAGUCCGGGAGAGGUGAGUGGAACUCCGAGUGUAGAGGUGAAAUUCGUAGAUAUUCGGAAGAACACCAGUGGCGAAGGCGGCUCACUGGCCCGGUACUGACGCUGAGGUGCGAAAGCGUGGGGAGCAAACAGG
rnacentral:rRNA from 1 species